GCAUUUUCCAACUUGUUUGCUUGUGUGAACUUGUAUUUCUGUGCUGUGGGUGAGGUCACACACUCUGGGCCGCUGAACCCCAUCUGUGGAAUGGGGGUAACAGUGGCCUUGGCUUCCCAGGGCACUGCCAGCAUCAGCCAGUGCUGGGGGGCAGGCGAGGGGCCUCCUGAGGCUCUGGGACCCCCAUGUGGGGUUACUGUGAAUCUCUUGAGGUCUCCCCUGCAGGUGGGUGGGGGCCAAGUGCAGUGGUGGCGCUUUGAGUGGGCCUUGGCAUCCCCUCUAGUACCCGCACGCCAUCAUCCACUGUGCCCAUCCCUGCCACUGUAACCUCCGCCUCCAAGAAAAGGCUCAGCUUCUGGCCCAGAUGUCAUGGGCGGCAGCCAUGUGCAGCGGCUGAUACGCUCUGCAUCAGUAACCAGAUCAGUGCUGGGGUCAAAUAACUUUCUGCCGGGCAACAGAAUCCCUGCCCGGGGCCGCCGCCGUUGUUGGUCCUGACCGUGGGAUGAGCGUUGAAAGACAACGCCUCUGGGUGGGCCUGGGAGGGCAGGGCGGGGGCUGAGGGGCUGUUGGGACUGGGUGUCCACAUCUAAGGGAGGCAGAGGGGGCAGGACCCCCCGAGGGCUGCUGCAGAGCUCCAGGCUUCUCCUUGGAAACAGCCUCUCCAGCCGGCCUGUGGUGCCGCCUCCUCCAGCAAAGACCUCACAGGCAGAGUUCUGCAUGGGGCGGCCACACCUGGAUUUGGGCUAUUUUGUCUCCAGAGUCUUAAAAGGCCACCAGAGAAGGUCUUGAGGGGGUGCCCUGCCAAGUGACAAUUCAGAAUAAAAAAAGAUGCAGUCUCAGACACAAAAAGUGUUUCCACUUCCCAAUGUUAGUUUUGAAGAGCCUGGGGCCUCCUCGCCUUGCCUGCAGGCUGGGCUGACCGAGGAGCUCCCAGAGGUGUUCAGGGUCUGAGGUCCACCCAGCCCCGCUCCAGGCCCUGUGCGUGGGCUCCUCCCAGGGCAGGCGUCUGGGGGCCCUCACAGCCAGGCGGGGCCUGAAAGCUGAUUCCUGUAGAGGGAUUUUCCCUCAGAGACAGAGGAGACAUUGUGCCUAGUGAGGCUGAGCAUGGCCCAGUGGGGGCAGGAGCCCACCUUCUCUGUUCCUGACCCUGAGACAAAGCGGCCUCCCCCUGCUGUCAGGCCACGCGGCGGCUGGUGGGGGGCUUGGGAGCCAGAACGCUCCAGAGAGACGACUGCCAGAGGCCUGAAAGCCACUGCCUGUGGUGGCCACUGCUUCGAGACCUCCUUCCUCCAGAUGGAGGCCCUGUUCCCCGCUCCUCUAAUCAGCCCUCAGGGAGGUGGUGCACUCAUGAAAAUGGGCAUAGGGCUGGGUGCGGGCGGUCAUCCUGAGGUGCCAAAGGGGAGGGGAUGGGUCACCUCUGCCAUCACCCUUGGUUGACCUCCAGGCCAGGUCGGAUUCCAGGGUCAGCUCCCACCAAGUCUGGCAUCCUCAAACACAAGCCCUUCCUAGGGCUGACCAUGGCCCCUGCAGCAAGCUGAAUCAUGCUCCUCCUAAAAUUCAUGCCCUCACAGAACCUAAAAGGUGAUCUUUUCUGGAAAAAGCAUCUUUGCAGAUGCAAAUUAAUUGACAUAAGGUCACAUGGAAUCAGGAUGGGCUCUGAACAAGGAAGUAGGGUGUCUUUAUAAGAAGACACACAGGGAAGUGCUCAUGUGAAGACAGAGGCGGGGAUGGAGGUGAUGUGUCUAGAAGCCAAGAAUGGCCAAGGAGGGCCAAGGAUGGUCGAGGAUGGCCAAGGAGGGCCAAGGAUGGUCGAGGAUGGCCAACGAGGGCCAAGGAUGGUCGAGGAUGGCCAACGAGGGCCAAGGAUGGUCGAGGAUGGCCAAGGGGGGCCAAGGAUGGUCGAGGAUGGCCAAGGGGGGCCAAGAGGGCCGAGGAUGGCCAAGGAGGGCCAAGGAUGGUCGAGGAUGGCCAAGGGGGGCCAAGGAUGGUCGAGGAUGGCCAAGGAGGACCAAGGAUCGUCGAGGAUGGCCAAGGAGGGCCAAGAGGGCCGAGGAGGGCCAAGGAGGGCCAAGAGGGCCAAGGAUGGCCAAGAAUGGUCAUGGCUCACUGAGAACCGCUAAGGAAGGCCAAGGAGGGCCAAGGAUCAUCAAAGAUGGCCAAAGAGGACCAAGGAUGGCCAAGGAUCGCCAAGGAUGGUAGAGGAUCACUGAGAAUCGCCAAGGAAGUCCAAGGAGGGCCAAGGAUGGCCAGCAACACCAGACCUGGAGAGGCUGGGGACAGAGUCUCCCUCAGAGCCUCAGAAGGAGCCAACCCUGACCUCCCCUGGAUCUCAGGCUUCGGGUCUGUAGAACUGUGAGAGCACACAGUGUGUGGUUUGAAGCCACCUAGUUUCUGGUACUUUGUUACAGCAGCUCCAGGAAAUAAACACAGUCCCUGAGAGCCGCCCAGGGCACCCCUGCUGGGACACCCAUCUGGCCGGUGGUCAGGGCUUCAGGUGGGACCAUCUAGUGGGACUUGUGUGUGCCUCUACUCUGGGGGCAUGGCCAGCCCUCAGCCUCUGCCACAAGGACUCGGUCCAUUCCCAGGAAGGGCAUCCCCUGCGUUCAUCUCCCAGAGAGAGCUGAUGCUCAGGCCUGAGCUGGCUCUCUGCAGCUGUGCGUACCCUGGGGCCGGCUAACACCUCCUGGGAGCCCGGCCACCUACCCCAGCUGAGCAGCUUACCCAAGUCACUCCUCCCUGGCAGGCUGCUCAUUAGAAGAGGGGCUGCAGCUCACAGGCAUGAGAGAUUUCCUUGGGGACACUCCCUGUGUCCCUCAGAAGGACCUGGGGGUUUGGGGGUCACCCCUCCAAAGGACGCAUUUUCAGUAAUUAAAGAGGCAGUGGGGCCUGGAAGAGGCUGAGCCAGCUCUGGGCUGGGGGAGAGGUGGUUGGCGGAGUUCAGAGGCCACAUGUAGGGGCCAGAAACUGUGCGCUACCAGGUGACCAGAGCUCUGCUCAGCCCCUCGCGUGCAUCCUCCCCCCAGGACAUCAGUAUUUUCUCCAGCACCACCAGGGGCGUCCGCUGGCCUGGACCCUCAGGGACUCUGGCCCAGGGCAGGGUUCUGUGUCACAUCAGCACAAGGGAGGGUCAGAUGUGCUGCCCACGACCCGCCGAGUCCCACAGCUGAUCUGCUCACUCGCCGAGUUUGAGAACCAAGGCUGGGCAGGUAGGGGGGUGAUGACGGAAUCAAGGGGGGGUGACGACGGAAUCAGGGGGGACAUCUGUGCUUUAGAUCCUGACCCCAUGGAGUCGGAGCCUGCCUGUGCCCGCAGGAUCAUGCCAGGGCCUCAGUGCUUGGGUGGGGGCCAUGCAUCCAGUUCAGAGGCCAGCAUCCAGGGAGGGUGCCAGGUCGCUCGGCUGUUCGGAUGUUGUCACAGGGGAACCUGCUGGCUUCCGUCCCUGUGAAUGAGGCUUCAUGUCAGGUACAGUCUUUUGGCCAGGAAUGAGGGCAUGAGCGAGUGAGCUGCCAGGUCUGUGUCCGAGGACCCUGAGCCCAGCCAGGAGCAUCGCGGGGAGUGUGGAGAGAUUGUCUGGGAGUGGCUAUAGGGUUUAGGAAGUCUUUUGAGGGCCUGUCAAGAUGGCCAGGACUGGCAGGCGGGGCAGGGUGGCAAAGGUGGCCUCAGAGAGGAGGAGAGUGAGCCCGGCAGGCUGGGGGCGACCCUGCAGGCGGAGCCCCCUCCUUGGGGCUCCUAGUGCCCCAGGCCCCACUGUGGGAGUCCUGCUCCGCACCCACUUUGUAGAGUGGCUGGGGAGAGACGGAGGGAGAGACGGAGACCCCUGGAGGCCCCAUGCUCCCUCUUGGCGGCAUCAAGGCUACACCAGGACUCUCUCCUCUGGCUGGCAGGAGUGUCCAGGAGGGGCUGGCCCUGCUGCUGGUAGAUCCUCCUCCCAACCCAGACGGAGGGAGGGUGGCAGCCCCCACCCCUGCAAGCUCUUUCUUUCCUUUUCCCAAAGUUGAAGCUUCUCCUGGUGCCUCAGCAGCAACCCCUUCACCAGCCCCGUCCGCUGCCCGCAAUGUUGGUGGAGUAAGGAGAUGAGGCCCGUGCAGAGCCGGGGGAGCCCCUGGGGGGUCUCUAAGCUGAACAGGCCUCUUUGACAUCAUUACAUAAGCCGUCACAUUGUCACAGGCCACGGCCAGGAGUUGUAAAUACUCGGGGAAAAGCCCUCUUUGUUAUGAGGUUCUGGGAUGUGAGACCUUGCAGCUUUUACUGCUCAGGAUUAAAGGAAGCCAGGCCUGCGGGGAAGUGCGGCCGCUCCCAGCACCGGCCCUCGCCUUUGUCGGUGCUUUUUAUGACUGCACACGUGGGUUUCCAGGCGGGAGCUGGGGGUUCCCUGGCCUGGGACCCAGCAGGCACUGGCGGCAGCUGGCGGGGCCCCUGAUCCUCACGGACUUCCUCCUCCCUCCGCUGUCUCCCCGGCCUCCCUGGGCUUUCCAGGAGAGCCGUCCACGCCUGCUGUGGGAGGAAGACGCUUUCCUGAGGCAGGGGCCAGGCAGCUUCUGUUGGCGCCUGGAACAGCUUCCGCUCAUCGCUUCUGGCGGCACACACUGCGGAGGUGAGACUGCAAAUGCCGCCCGCCCCACGUGGUGCAGGCUGAGUGCUCUGGUGUUUGUCCAAGCUGUUCCAAGCCCAGGAGGUCGGACUCUCACCGUCGUCUUGGUGAUGGCAACGCUGUGUCCUGCCCCACCUCGUGGCUGCCCCCACCUGUACCGGUGAGACCUGAGGGUACGGGUGGGGUGGAUCCUGCCAUUCCCAAGGGCUAAGUCCUGAGACCCUUUUGAAACCCCGUUUGAAAAGGUGACAAUAGCGUAUGGCUUCCCGCACCAAGUGCACACAGUACACUAGCGACAGGCACAAAGGCAACAUGAAACGGGCUGCUCUGUGCUCGGGUGUCGCAGAAGCACGGGCCAGAGAGCCGGUGGCUGCCCAGGACCAAAGGGACCCACAUCGACCUGCUGGGCACUGGGGCCUAGAGAGUGACCAGAGCGUGAUUAGAAGAGGCCGGAUCACAGGGAGCCCCAGUCCACUGAACCACAUCCAGAAGGUAGAAAGGUUGUUUCUCUCCCCUGGAUGCCUGUGGGGGUGGGGACGGCAGAGCCUCGGACACUGCCCGGGGAUCACUCUCAGGCUACUUUUCCCACCCUGCCAAGCUGCUCGAGACGUCAAAGGAGACCAGGCCGGUCAGCACACAGGCUUCUGUCGCUCUGGCCUCGAUGUCUAAGGCUCCGUGGGCAGCCGGCCUGUGGAUGAGGCGGCGGAAACCACAUCCUCUUCAUCAUCCUCUCACGAGGAAGGACACUGACAGCUUCGGAGAAGGCUGCCCAGUGUCUGCGGGUGCCCUUGGGAGAUGGCCUUGGGACACGGUGCCUGUGCCUGUGUGUGUACACCACGUGUGAACGCCAACUGGGAACACGGCCCCUUCGUAGGCAAACCCAGGCCUCCUGGAAGUCACAAGUUGAUAGCUGUACUCGCCCCUUUUGGAAGACGCACGCCCAAGGCACCCGUGUGUGCACACGUAUCCGUGUGUGGACCUCUGUCCACACGUGUGUGUUUUGAAAAGCCUUUCUCACCACAUGUUAGGAUCACAAGUGUUCAAAAUCUAGGCACACUUUUCAGAAGUUAUUUCUGGAAAAAAUGUUGAAUCUCAUAACAGCAAUAAAAGGAAAAUACCGCCUCAGCCAACAUAAAUGUCUCCUUGGAACAUGCCUGAAAAGCGGCGGAGUAUUUGUGUAAGUUUCAAUUCCAGCGUCAGAGCCUGCAGCUUGGCCGAGGCCGGGUUCUGCACAGGAGGGUGCACGGUCCCUUUCCGAAAGCCCCUCACCGGACUUCUGGGAACUCCCAACCCAUCCCGGGAACCCCACCUGCCGGCCCCGGAUCCGGAUGGGCUCCUGAUGUAUCCCACAGAGGGGAUGCCAACGUCAGACACCAGCAGGCUGGGGAGGAGCGGCUGUGAGGUGCAGCCGGCGGGUGGGCGGCCAGCCUCCAGGACAGACCUCGGAGGAGGCUGGGGGCUGCCUGCUGCCCUCGGGGCCCUGUGGUCCCACCACACCCGUGCCUGUCCCAGUGAUCCUCAUGUCACCGGCCCAGUGAGAGGCUGCUGCUACCAACCCCGCCAGCCUGCAGGCCGCUGAGUGCUGGGCUGCUCCUCCUCAGAGGAUGAGCGUGGGAAUAACCCAGUGGGGCGAGGAUGCUGACGGCGCCAUGGAUGUCCACUGAGGGCCCGAGAUGGGCCAGGCCGAGCUCUGUGCUUUGGAGUCAGAUCUCAUUUAAACCCAGCAGCACAUCCCAUUUCACACGUGGGAAGGUGGGGGAGUCAGGAUCAGAGAGCAGGGUGUCGCAUGGGGGAGCAGCCGGGCUGCGAUGUGAACCCUACAGUCUGCCCAUGAGCCGCACUCCUGGGCUGGACACUCCAGAGCCUUCUCAAGCAGCUUUCUUGGGGCUCCCUGAGCACCUGGCUGGAUGCUGCUGGUCUGGAACUCUGGACGGGGGCCCCGGGAGCUGACCUGCAAAGCUGUAGAGCGACUGUGAGGCACUGGCAGCUUUGCAGCCCCUCUGGACCCAGGGUGGGGUGGGCUGAGCAUCUGGCCUUCUGGGUCUAUCUGGGAGGCAGGGCUGUCUCAGAUCUGGGGCCUUCUGAGAAAGAUGUCGAACCCAAGCUUCCUUGGGGAAGGAGGCAGAUGGACCCCAGAUCACUCUCCUGGGUGUGAAAUCAGCUUUGGGGGUGCCUUCGGGGUCGGGCAGAACUGGGCUCACCCAGCUCUCGCCUUUUCUGGCUGUGUCACUUGGGUGAGCUCCUGAGCCUCUCUGUGCCUCGGUUUCCCUGUUGAUUAGGUCAGGCCAAGGAUUAAAUGAUGGCAAAGUCGUACCACGCUGGCUGGUUUUGGGCCUGUGGGGAUUCUUCAUCAUUUCUUCUCUUUCUCCUACUGCAGCUCCAGGCUACCCUGAGAUUUGCCUGCUGGGUCUGGGCUUCAUGGCGGGGCCAGAUUGGUGCCUCGGAGCAGAGGGCACAGGACAGAGCGGGCACCAAUGCACGGGCAGGUUUCCAGGCACUUUGGGAAGAAAUAAGAUCCCACCCAAGAACCUCUCCCCAACUCUGGCCUUGGCUCGUCCUGGUUGUUUCCAAAAGUGAAAGAAGGCAAAAGAGUGAGCCGAGGCCCACCGGGAACAACAACAAAGACCCGGCCUCGGAGUGGCGGCAGCGCCGCGGCCACUGCAGGAGAGCUCUGGUUUCUAUUAGUGGGAAGCGACGGCUCCGUCUCAGGACAGAGCUUGGGCCAUCAGCCCUCGGCGGGUUAACCCUUCCCCACCUCACUGCUCUCACAGGCAACAGGCACCCCUGAAGCUGGGAAGUCCUGGGGCCGGGUUCAGCUGAGGACUCCCUGCAUCCUGCCACCACCACCAACCAUGCUGGCGCUCACACACACACACACAUACGCACGCACACACGCACACACAUGCCUACACACACCCACACGUCUCACAGACACACACGCACACUCACAUGCAUGCACACGUGCCCACACAUGCCCACAUGUCUCACACACACGCAUGCCCACACAUGCACACACACUUAUAUGUGCACACAUAUGCACAAUCCACACCAGCACACACAUGCACAUACACAUACACACACACAGACAUGCAUGCACAUACACACCCAUACAUGCAAACACAUAUUCCUACACAGGGACACUCCACGCCAGGGCCAUGUCAUCUGAGGCCAAAUGAAGAGUUGGCAGAGGAGGAAGGCCUGGAGAGGUAGCGUGGAGGCCAGAGGAGGCCCUGGUUGAGACGUGCUUGCUGGUUUGGCAGGUGGAGGGACUUGGGGACCAAGUAACCCGGCUCGGUCAAACAUUCUCUCCCCAGGCACGGAUGCUGUGUCCCUGGGGAGCCCAACCUCCCCAAGUGGAGCUUGGCUGAGACCCCUCAGCAGCUCCGAGGGCCCCUGUGGGUUGUGAUGCCAGAAACAGGGCCAGAGCUCAGAGGAGGCACAGGGACUACGGUUUCCGUUGAAAGACGGCUCAGGGUCACCGGGCUCAGCAGAGGGAGGGCGCUUCAGGGGCGGUGACCGGGUCGCUUUAGGAAGAUGGGUGGGGGGCACUCGACUCCCAAGGCUGAGGGAGGGGAAAGGUGUGUGCACACUGCAGGCAUCCGGCCUUUGGGCCCCAGAGUGUGCCGGGCAGGUGUCAUCUCCAUUAACAGCUGCAGCCGCUGUGGAGGUGGCUGCCACCAUGAUACCCAUCGUACAGGUGAGGAGGUGGAGGUAGGAAGGGCGUGGCCUGUCUCAACCUGACAGGGAUGUGUGUAUGUGGCCACAUGUUGACUUUUUGUUUUAAAAUUUGGAUUCUACUGGGGAAAAAGAUUACAAUAAAGUGUCUGUGCUGCACCCAGGAAGGCAUGCCCACUGGGUAAGGCUCGGCACCAAGCGGCCUCUCACUGUGGGUCAGGCUCGCAUGGGGCGGGUGUGCCUGGCCCCUGUGUGAACCUGGAGCUGGCCAUGGGGAGAGGCUGCUCUGGGGCUUUUCAGAGAAUCCGUGGUUGAUUCCCUCAAGGACUCCCUCAAGGGGGCCACGCUCCUCCUCCCUGGGUCCCCUCCCUGGCCCCCACCCUUCCCUUUCUCAGGUCCUCCCUCUGACAGUGGCUGUAGCCCUCUGCUCCUAGCCCAGGGCAGCCCUGGCCUCUGGAGUCACAGUCAUGUGUUCAAGUCUCGGCCCCUUUCCCAAGGUGAGCUGGUCCUGCAGGGAUGCGGGAAGUGUCAGAAUAUGAAAACAACCAGGACAAGGACAGCUCAGCUUACCCCGCUCCAGCACCUUCUCCAGGUCAAGCACUUGGCCAGCCCUGUAGCAGCCUCCUCAUUCCAUCUCUCUGGUGUUUUACAGAUGAGAAAUGAGCACAGAGAGGUUAGGAGCAUUGUCCAGUGCCACAGAGCUGGCAUGUGCUUGUCUGGGCUGAGAACUCUAUGAAGCCUUGGAAAUGCUCCCCACAUAUGGAGCAGUGUGUUCAGGCCCCAUGGCCUGACCGGGAGCAGGAGGGAAGGACAGGCUCAGGUCUCGCAUCCCGGGAAGAAUUUCUCCUCAGUGCACCAGGGAAUAUCGCCUGACGACGGAAUCAGGUUUCUUUCCCCAUGACCCCUCCACCAUUAGUGUUCCCAGAAAGCCAGGGGCUGCUGUGCCCAGAGGAGGUGCACCCUGGGAGCCCUGCCUGCAGGACGGGAAGCAGAGCCCCCUCAGAACAGAAACUAGGAACAGAGGAGGGACAAGGGAGGGAGGGCAGAAGGUCCGGUGCCCUCAGUUUCUAUCCAUCCUUGGGUCGGAAACCUGGGAUGGAAUGAGUGAGGAGCUGGGUCCACAGGGACAGGAACUGGGGGAUACCAGGGGCUAGGGCUGCUCAUCCUUUCCCAAGGAGGAGCCAGGGAAAAAUUAAGCUCAUAGGGAAUGUCGGGUUCACCGGGCCUGGCGGACUCCAGAUCCCAGAGGCAGGGCACCCACACAUCUCUCACCGGCACGCACCAGGGCCCCGAUAGCCGGGCACCAUCAUGGCGAAUUACAUUACAUUGCAUUACCCGGGGACCACUAUCAUGACCACGUUGGGAGAGGAAACUGAGGCACUAAGCUGCCAAAGUCACGCAGCCCACAACACUGGAAGGCAAAGCAGCCGUCUGGACCCCAGAACUGGAGCUGUCCCCUCACUGGGCGAAACCCAGAACCCAGUGUUUGCUUCUUUCUCAGAGUAGCAAGAAGACAUGGCAGAGCUGCCCUCAGGCUGGAGGCUUGCAAGCCGGAGGCGCACCACUGUCUAAGCAAACCAGGCACGAGGAAACGCAUUCGCAAGCCUGAGAAGAUGAGUGGCCAUCACUGGCAUCACCGAAAUGGCCUCCUCAACCGGACGGGAAGAAUCCCUCCCCCAGCUGACUCCCCGAGAUGCUCCAUGCCCCACGUUCCUGACCUCCUAGGGGAAGGAGCAGGAGGAACCCAAGGCCAUCAGAGGGGCCUGGACUGUGGGUGCUGCCAAGUCUGUAGGUGACCCGGUGACCAUCCCGGUUUGCAGGGGACCAAGAUUCUUUCUGGGAUGUGGUGCUUUCAGUGGCAACAAGAAGAGCCCCCUCGGCAGCCCUGGCAAUCCAGGACAGUGGGUCGCCCCCGCACGGCCUGACGCUGUGGCGUGGAGUCUCCAGCGGGGCAGCACUGGGUUGGAGGAGGGAGGAUGCUGCCAGCAUCACGGGGAGGUCACAUGCCAGACACUGGUGUCUGAUUUCCCCUUGAGAGAGGUUUCAUCACUGCCCCGUCCUUGGAAAGGGUCACCCAGUCAGACUACAGAGCCAGGACCAUGAUCCAAAGCUGAGCAGUGCCCACCAAAGACAGUGUUCCCAGUGCUCAGGAGCCCUUGGGCCUUUAUAAGGUGUCUACCGUGGGACUAAAAAAACACCUGUCCCCAGGUGACAGCAUGCUGCCUUUGAAACACAGCUCUGUGAGAACACACCUGGCAAAGGCAGUCUUGGGGGCCACGCGGCAGGGACCCCUUUCCUUUACCAACUCUCACAGGCUGAGCCGCUCUUGCUGUGAAUGUACGUGGCCUUGGUAUGUUCUCCAGCAAGAUUAUAAGUGGAGGAUGGAGUCAGCUGGGAAGCGAGGCUCAGAUCAAGGAGGGCUACUACCAGGAUCCCUGCAGAAACAGGGACACAGGGAGAGAUGGCUGUAAAAUCCUUGAGCUUUAAGGGGUAAGCUCAUGGAGCCCUGAAAAAUAUGACUGCAUUGCAAAUGCCAACUUGUAGACACAAAUAUCGUGGAAGCAGGCCACGUUCAGCCUUGCACACUGUGCGCUCUUCCAUGACUGAGAACGUUAGUCACCUGCACCCUGACCAACCUCUCAUCCCUGAAGCCUGCUGGGAGGUGUCUGGGGACAGGAACGAAAAUUUACAAUGUUCUUUGGUUGUUUAAUUUUGAAUUUUCUCCCUCAUUAUUAUUGAAACUGAAACAUCUAAGAGGACACCCAGAUUUAUCUGAAACCGGAAGAUGACACGUAUGAAGGAUCAAGCAUUCAUCACAAACACAGGCAGGCGAAGGAGACCAAAACACAGCUAGGACCAUGCCAAGCGUCGGUGAUGAUGUGGAGAAAUGGGGACCUGCCAGACACUGCUGGUGGGGAGGUGACAUGGUGCAGCCACUAUGGAAAAUAGUCCAGCAGUUCCUCGAAAUGGAAAGCAGGAGUCCCAUGACCCAGCAGUUCCAUUUUCAAGGAAGUCCCCAAGAGAAAUAGAAACUUACGUCUUCACAAAAGCUUGAAAAUACACAUUCAUAGCAGCAUGAUUCAUAACAUCAAAAAGCAGAAACAGCCCAAAUGCCCAUCAGUGGAUGGAUGGAUAAGCACAAUGUGGCCCCUCCAUACGACACAAUAUUACUCAGCCAUAAGAACGAGUGAGGUAGCGGCACAGGCCACAAAGUGGGCGAACCUGGGAACCACGGGACUGAGUGGAAGGAGCCAGUCACAAAAGGUCAUGGGCUGUCUGAAUCCAUUCAUUUGAAUUUCCAGACUAGGCAAAUCCACAGAGACAGAAAGUGGGUUGGUGGUUGCAGUGGCUGGGGGCAGGGGGACAUGGGGAGAGUGCGGAGUGAGUACUAAUAGGUGUGUGGUUUCUUUUUUCAGUGAUAAAAAUGUACUAAAAUUUAUUGUGAUGGUUGCACAAGUCUGUGGCUGAAAACCACUGAAUUGUACGUUUUAAUGGGGUGCAUUGUUUGCGUGUGAAUCACAUCUCAAUAAAGCUGUUUUUAAAAUGCAAUUAUUGCACAAUGCAAA
rnacentral:lncRNA from 1 species